GUACUCUUCAUAGCGUCGGGGAUUACCGUGAUCAGAAAGGCGGUUCCCCCAGUCAUUAGGACUAUGCGCAGCUUGACUGUAAGCUAUACAUCGUAUGUUACAAUAUAGCUUAGGCGCAUAAUUUUUGGUAGUGUGGGGUGCUCGUGCUUCGACGUACCCCACG